rnacentral:rRNA from 1 species
UACGUAGGGUGCGAGCGUUAAUCGGAAUUACUGGGCGUAAAGCGUGCGCAGGCGGCUUUGCAAGACAGAUGUGAAAUCCCCGGGCUCAACCUGGGAACUGCAUUUGUGACUGCAAGGCUAGAGUAUGGCAGAGGGGGAUGGAAUUCCGCGUGUAGCAGUGAAAUGCGUAGAUAUGCGGAGGAACACCGAUGGCGAAGGCAAUCCCCUGGGCCUGUACUGACGCUCAUGCACGAAAGCGUGGGGAGCAAACAGG